AUGCCAAGAAAAACCCCACGCACGCAUCCAACUUCCCCAACAACAACCAACCUACGCGCCUAUAAGAACGUGCGCGCCGAGCGAGCCAGCAACCACACCCAGACCAUUCCAAGAACUGGAGUUGAGCUGCAUCGAUCGAUCUCCGUCCACGGUCGGGCCUCUGGCGUGCCAGCCAUGGCAGCCGGCUCGGCGUUUCGCGUGGCGGUGCUCGCAGCCGUCCUGCUGGUCCCUUUCCUCGGCCCGCCGGCCGUGGAGGCGCAGCUCGGGCAGGUGAGGAAGUACUGCGGCAGCCAGUUCGCCCUCGCCAGCCAGGCGUGCGCCAUCCUCCCGCCCACCAGCCCGGAGCACCGCCACCAGGACGACGAGGAUGAUGACGACGACGACGAGGACGAGGACGAGGACGAGGAUGAGGACGACGAUGAAGACGACAAGGGGGGCGGCGGCGGUGGAGGCGACAAGGGGGGUGGCGGCGGUGGAGGCGGAGGAGGAGGUGGGGGCGGGGGAGGUGAUGAUAGUGGUGGCGGCGGCGGCGGUGGCAACGCGACGUCGCUGAUCACGGCCGACCCUGAUGUGCUCCACGUGGCUGUAGCCCGCAACGGCACUGUCCGUGCCGGCCACCGUCGCACUAGGCGGACUCGUCGCAGGCGCCGCCACCACCACCGCCGUCGUCGCCGCCGCCGCGGACGCCACGUGGGCGAGGGGGAGGACGAAGGCGAGGGCGGCGAGGACGAGGACGAGGAUGAGGACGAGGACGACGAGAAGGACGACGACGACGAGGACGAGGACGAGGACGAGGACGAUGACGACGAUGACGACGACGACGAUGAGGAGGACGAGCACCGCGCGUACCGGGACUGCUGCCGGUGGCUGAAGGAGGUGGAGCCCGGGUGCGUGUGCGAGUCGCUGCUCCACCUGCCCAUGUUCCUCGUCAAGCCGCAGCACAAGUACACCGUCCGGGUCGGCAAGACCUGCGAGAUCACCUACCGCUGCGGCGGCGGCCGCGCCAUGUAG
rnacentral:rRNA from 1 species